UGGGUGCAUAGCUCAGUGGUAGAGCAGAGUCCUUUUAAGUCUUUUGUCGGGGGUUCAAUUCCCUUUGCACCCAA
rnacentral:tRNA from 2 species